AUCAGUCCAUUGUUGCACCCCCUUAUUCUGAACCAAAGGUAACCCCUAUUUCCCUCUUAGGCGUGGAAUGGCUGAACCAAGAAGAACACAAAUUGUCUAUCUUCCUCUUAAUUCUGAAACCGAACUCAGCCUUCUUCUACACCCUCCACCGCCGAAAAUAAAAGAAGAGAAAUAGAGGAGUAAUAAGUUUGAAUCGUUCUCACUUCAUGUCCCUGCAAAACCGUAAUCUUCAAUCAGCUAAAUUCCCAUUCACUCUCAUUCUGACUCAGUCCUAGAGCAACUACGGAGGAGAUCAUCAUCUCAAUUCAUUCCUCAUUUUUCUCUAGCUUGGCCGAGGAAUUAUCUUAGGAGGGGAAGUAUUCCUUGCUUUCUUUUAGUUCCCUCUUGCUUGGAACGAUUCUAAGUGUGUUUUUCCACUGAAUGAAAGUGGUCCAACCUUGAUUGAGUUUCAUCUUCCCUUGCAUGCAGAUGGGUAGCUCGAAUUCUUGCAAGGAGGAGGGUGAGAGUAUCCUCUUUUGGUCGAUACCUUGGACCGGUUGUGAGCACUUUGGUGUGCACAAAGAGCUGAAGAGUGUAGGCCAGUGACACAUACCAGUUAGGACUCAAUUUUUGUGCUUGGACCGUAGCACCCUUGUGAAGUUGUGGGACUGUUUCGGUGGAAAUUAUUGUGUGUCAAACCUGUAUUCCUUCCCUUGGGUACGCUGUCAACCUCAAAUAGGAAAAGUUAAAAAAAAAGAGAACUGAGACUUGGAGUAUAGGGAGGUUGAGAGUGUACACACCAACUUAUGGUAAACCUCAAUCGGCAGAAUUGGGGGUUGUGGAUGCAUGCAAGAGGAGGACGUAAAAGCUUUUGAGGACUUGGAUAUUUGCUGUUGGUUUCUACUAUUGGGCAUGCUGCCGUGAUUGUAUUAUUUUCAUGGAUGACUGUACUAAUUGUGGAUGUUUAAAUUAUUAGUGAAGUAUGUUUGCAUUCUGUUUUAAGACUUUUAAGAACAGCAAGUGUUUUGAAACGAAUUUCAGAACCGUUUUU